rnacentral:rRNA from 1 species
UACGUAGGGUGCAAGCGUUGUCCGGAAUUAUUGGGCGUAAAGGGCUCGUAGGCGGUCUGUCGCGUCGGUAGUGAAAACUCAGGGCUUAACCCUGAGCCUGCUUCCGAUACGGGCAGACUAGAGGUAUGCAGGGGAGAAUGGAAUUCCUGGUGUAGCGGUGAAAUGCGCAGAUAUCAGGAGGAACACCGGUGGCGAAGGCGGUUCUCUGGGCAUUACCUGACGCUGAGGAGCGAAAGUGUGGGGAGCGAACAGG